rnacentral:rRNA from 1 species
GAGGAUGUUGGCUUAGAAGCAGCCAUCAUUUAAAGAAAGCGUAACAGCUCACUCAUCGAGAGAUCUCGCACCGCAGAUAAUCGGGGCUAAACGUAGUACCGAAUUUGAGGGCUCUGGCGGCGUUCGCGCCGCCAGAGCGGUAGAAGACUAUUCCACUCUUGCUGUGAAGGAGAAGGCGUGAGCCACUCUGGAGCGUGUGGAAGUAAAAAUGUUGGCACAAGUAACCGCAAGGAAGGUGAGAUCCCUUCCCGCCGAAAGACUAAGGUUUCCAGAGCUAUGAUUGUCAACUCUGGGUUAGUCGGGCCUAAGGAGAUGGCGAAAGCCGUAUCUGAUGGACACAUGGUUAAUAUUCCAUGACUUCGUAUCUGUGCGAUGGGAGGACGGAGGGUAGUAUGUACAGCUCAUUAUUGGAUUUGAGUUUGUGACGUAAGUGGGGUGCGCAGGAAAAUCCGCGUACUGCCUUAGAUGGCAACUUGCAAGCGUAGCAGAAAUGUGAGGGUUCGCCCUUGCAGAUUGUACAAAGCACGCUCCCGAGAAAAAUCUCUAAGCUUCAACAGAUAUGAAUCCGUACCGUAAACCGACACAGGUAGUCAGGUCGAGAAGACCAAGGCGAACGAGUGAUUGAUCCCCAAGGAACUCGGCAAAAUAGCAGCCGUAACUUUGGAAUAAGGCUUGGCUAUAGCAAUAUAGCCCGCAGCGAAAGACUCUCUGGCAACUGUUUACCAAAAACACAGCUCCCUGCGAACUCGUAAGAGGAUGUAUAGGGGGUGACACCUGACCAAUGCGAGAAGGUCAACUAUCGGUGGUCAUAUUCCGCUUUUCAUUUGAGAAAUCGAAUGCGAAGCGGAGUAUGGCUGGCUGAUAUAAGCCCUCGUGAAUGUCGGCCGUAACUAUAACGGUCCUAAGGUAGCGAAGUACCUUGUCGGGUAAGUUCCGACGCGCACGAAUGGUGUAAUGACUGGAGAACUGUCUCGGGGAUUAGCUCGGUGAAAAUACAAUACCGGUGAAGAUGCCGGUUACCUGCAGAUAGACGAAAAGACCCUAGAAGCUUUACUGCAGCUUGAUAUUGACUAUAUUUGUUCACUGCGUAGGAUAGGUGGGAGAGGUUUGAUGGUUACGAUUUCGGUUGUGAUCUACUCGUCAGUGAAAUACCACUCUGUCAACAGGUAUAGUCUAAUCCUCACGGCAAAAACGUGAAGAGACAGUUUCUGGUGGGCAGUUUUACUGGGGCGGUAUCCUCCCAAAAAGUAACGGAGGAGUUUAAAGGUCAGCUAGGCGCGAAUGGAAACCGUGCCGAUAGUGUAAGGGCACAAGCUGGCUUGACUGUAAGGCGUACAUGCCGAGCAGAUGCGAAAGCAGAACCUAGUGAACCGAUGGUUCGCAUUAGAUGCGGCCGAAGAUUAACGGAUAGAAGCUACUCUAGGGAUAACAGGCUAGUUCCGCCUAAGAGUUCAUAUCGACGGCGGAGUUCGGCACCUCGAUGUCGGCUCACCUUAUCCUGGUGGUGGAGAAGCUACCAAGGGUUUAGCUGUUCGCUAAUUAAAAAGGUACGCGAGCUGGGUUCAAACCGUCCUGAAGCUAAGAAAUUUAUUUUUUAGCUGAAGGACAGUUUGAAUCCGUUGAGGAAAAUAUUCGCGAGAAUAUUUAUGUUAAUUGAGACAAGACCAUGUAUGUACUGUGUGUACAUAUCACGGCGGCACAUAACAGAAAUGUUGUGCGAGAAGUUCACUUAUAUCGGUAAA